GACGAACGCUGGCGGCGUGCCUAAUACAUGCAAGUUGAGCGCUGAAGGUUGGUACUUGUACCAACUGGAUGAGCAGCGAACGGGUGAGUAACGCGUGGGGAAUCUGCCUUUGAGCGGGGGACAACAUUUGGAAACGAAUGCUAAUACCGCAUAAAAACUUUAAACGCAAGUUUUAAGUUUGAAAGAUGCAAUUGCAUCACUCAAAGAUGAUCCCGCGUUGUAUUAGCUAGUUGGUGAGGUAAAGGCUCACCAAGGCGAUGAUACAUAGCCGACCUGAGAGGGUGAUCGGCCACAUUGGGACUGAGACACGGCCCAAACUCCUACGGGAGGCAGCAGUAGGGAAUCUUCGGCAAUGGACGAAAGUCUGACCGAGCAACGCCGCGUGAGUGAAGAAGGUUUUCGGAUCGUAAAACUCUGUUGGUAGAGAAGGACGUUGGUGAGAGUGGAAAGCUCAUCAAGUGACGGUAACUACCCAGAAAGGGACGGCUAACUACGUG
rnacentral:rRNA from 1 species